GAAGAAUUAUGAAUAUUUCAAAUAGUGUUUUCAACAUAUCAUUUUUUACUCUUGAGCAAGAAGAAAACCAACACACACACAUACACAAAAAAAAAAAAAAAUCAAAUGCCUUGUACAGAUAUUUGAAUUUUCAAUUUUCGGUUUUAAAAAUAAUUAAAAACUAAAAAACGUAAUGGUUGUCAAACGACUCCUAAAAUCAAGAAGGUUUUUCAUUCACCGUUCCACAAGAAAUUUAUCAUUACAUCCAUGGCCACCAUUUUUUUUUCCUUUUCUUUUUUAAUUACUACAACAUAUAUACUAGUGUAACUGAUAAAAUUGCAAAACCAAAACCUACUUCACAAGCACCUCCACAUGCCUCUCCUGCACAUCAGACUCAGUCAUCUUGUUCAACGAUCUCUCCGUUAUCGUAUCCAACAGCGGCUUCCACGAACGACGCGACGAUCUCUGAGAGCCAUAAUCCACCAUCAUACUCAAAUUCUCCUGCUCCACAAACCUUCCCGGACUCCUCCCUGGACUCCUCCCCGGCGACGACGAAGAGCUCCACAUAGGGCUUGGGCAAAACUGGCCGCUCAUGCUUGAAGAAUAGGCCGCAGGAGACUGAGGGGCAGACGGAGACUGCUUCCUGCUGCUCUUUGCUGCUGCAGAAGUGAGUUUUCUGGCUAUGGAAGCCAAGUCGAGAGGAGAAGCAUCACUCCGCAGUGCAGAGUAGGGAAGGAGGAAGUAGACCUGCCCUGGUUGGAGGAGGGUGUCAUGCUUCAAUGGCUUGGACCCAGUUGAGAGGAGCUGCGAUGGAGUGCAUACAAAGUGCUUUGUGGGCUUCCCUGUCACUUGCCCUACUGAGAUUGGGUGCUCAAAAUCCUCCACAUACCCAUUCAGAUGCACCACCUUCACAUUCUGGAGUUCAACUUUUGGUCUGCAAGAAAAGCAACCACCCAUCCUUUUGUUUUUUGAGGUGUGUUUUGGAUGCAGAGAAGAAUUAUGGAAGGGCACACCAUAAGGGAGAUAUAUAUAUAUAUAUAUAUGUGUGUGUGUGUGUGUGUGUGUGUGUAUUUGUAUUUAUAUAUGUAGAUAUGACAAAUGAGAAUUUAAGAAGGAAAGACUGUGUUGUUAAGGCUUGUUACAAAGACUAGACGUGCUGAGAAAAUAUCAUGCUUAAUCAAAUUGUCUUUAUUAGUUUACUUUAUCUUUCAUCUUAUUUAUUGACAUGUUGAUAGUUUUAGAACUUAAACUAAAUAAAUUAAAAAUGAUAAACAAUGAGAAUUUUUUUUUUUUGAAACGACAUACAAAACCUAUAAGUUAACAUUUGCUUUUUACUAGACUCGUUUCCACAAUUU
rnacentral:lncRNA from 1 species